UACGUAGGGGGCGAGCGUUUGUCCGGAAUGAUUGGGCGUAAAGCGUCCGCAGGUGGCUGUGUAAGUCUGCUGUCAAAGAGCAAAGCUCAACUUUGUAAAGGCAGUGGAAACUACACGGCUAGAGUGCGUUCGGGGCAGAGGGAAUUCCUGGUGUAGCGGUGAAAUGCGUAGAGAUCAGGAAGAACACCGGUGGCGAAGGCGCUCUGCUAGGCCGCAACUGACACUGAGGGACGAAAGCUAGGGGAGCGAAUGGG
rnacentral:rRNA from 1 species